GCCUGUGUGGUGCAGUGGUUUGAGUGUUGGACUAUGACUCUGAAAACCAGUGUUCGAUUCCCAGCUCUGCCA